CCUACGGGAGGCAACAGUGAGGAAUAUUGGUCAAUGGACGAGAGUCUGAACCAGCCAAGUCGCGUGAAGGAUGACUGCCCUAUGGGUUGUAAGCUUCUUUUAUAAAGGAAUAAAACGAGGCACGUGUGCCUUUUUGCAUGUACUUUAUGAAUAAGGAUCGGCUAACUCCGUGCCAGCAGCCGCGGUAAUACGGAGGAUGCGAGCGUUAUCCGGAUUUAUUGGGUUUAAAGGGAGCGUAGAUGGGUUGUUAAGUCAGUUGUGAAAGUUUGCGGCUCAACCGGAAAAUUGCAUUUGAUACUGGCAGGCGUGAGUACAGUUGAGGGAGGCAGAAUUCGUGGUGUAGCGGUGAAAUGCGUAGAUAUCACGAAGAACCCCGGUGGCGAAGGCGGCUUACUAAACUGUGACUGACAUUGAUGCGCGAAAGUGUGGGGAGCAAACAGGAUUAGAUACCCGGGUAGUC
rnacentral:rRNA from 1 species